GAUGAACGCUGGCGGCGUGCUUAACACAUGCAAGUCGAACGAUGAAGCCCAGCUUGCUGGGUGGAUUAGUGGCGAACGGGUGAGUAACACGUGAGUAACCUGCCCUUAACUCUGGGAUAAGCCUGGGAAACUGGGUCUAAUACCGGAUAGGAGCGUCCACCGCAUGGUGGGUGUUGGAAAGAUUUAUCGGUUUUGGAUGGACUCGCGGCCUAUCAGCUUGUUGGUGAGGUAAUGGCUCACCAAGGCGACGACGGGUAGCCGGCCUGAGAGGGUGACCGGCCACAGGGGGAGGGAGAAGGGGCACGGCCCCCAGGGGGAGGAGGGGGGGGGGAAUAGUGAGGAAGGGGGGGAGGCGGAGGGGGGCGAGGCCGGGGGAGGGAGGACGGCGUUGGGGUGGAAACCCUUUGGGGGAAGGAAAGAGGGAAAGGGGGGGGACCGGGCAGAGGAGCCACGGGAAAACAAGGGC
rnacentral:rRNA from 1 species